rnacentral:lncRNA from 1 species
UAGCAAGGGAAGAUGGGAUAGCGUGCCUAAUACAGAGCUGCAAAAUAAGUUGCAAGUCACAGGCAGAGACUCUUAAUAAUAGACUCUUGCAUGGGCAAAGGUUUGGACUUUUGCACUUGUUUUGCUCAGACAAGAGGGAAGUGAACUAGAACAAGAAGCCCAAGUAUAACUAAAACUGGAGAAAGCAGGCUUAAGGAAGAGGGAAGCAGCCAACAUCUGUGACCAGCCAGAGCCAAUUGAGACGCUGGGGAACUUGGAGGACACAAUGUGCUGCUAAAUUGGCACAAACCCCUAAGAGUACAAAGGUGUGCUUGCCUCCCUCUAACUUGGGCUGCAUGGAACUCAGGACGAUAGAAACGAACCCUGCUUAUAUAUACUUAUUCGAAGAUUCUCUAGCAGGGUCUUUAAGGCAGCCAGAGAUCGGGUGUGCGGAUGUGUGUCUGUGUGUGCAUGUGUGUUUGUAGAUGGGUCUGUAUGAGGUAAGCCACGCUGGAUGAAAAUGUCCUGCACUUAGCAGCAUGAAUGAUUAAUGUAAAAAGUCUAAAAUUAUAACCACCUACCCAUUUCCUAUGCUCUUAUCCCAUUUCUACUAGAUAUUUCUGCCUCAGUCAAGAAAGAUUGAUGUGGUCUAUUGGAAAACCAGGGCUGGUUCUAAUAUUAAGCAGAAUGAAGCAAAUGUUUUAGGUAGUAGGUUGUAGAUGUAAUGAAAAGGCAGCAAAUGGUUAGUUACUU